ensembl:lncRNA
CAGCUGGGACCCAGCCCAGAUCAUUUGUCUGCAUCAGGUGCUAUCAGCAGGUGUGUGCAGAAGCAGAGCGAGGUGAGUGCUGUUUUCUACUCUCUGUACCACUUAUUCCAGUUCUCAGCUUUGCAUUAUCUGUCAUGUCUUUCCAGGGGCAGUUGUUGGCAUUAAAUGUCUCAUAACGCAUUAGGCAUAAGUACCCUAAUAAUAGGCCAAGGAUGACUUAUGCUUAGACAAAAAUUAUAUGGGGAACUUUGUGCCACUGUGCAGUGUAUCCACCCUGUACAAGACAGGCUGUCACAUGGAGAACUAAGAAUAGUAGAGUUAGUCACUGGUAGUGAGAGUGAUGACUCAGAAAACAGGUUUUAAGCUGAAAAAAACUUCACAUUGUCACUGGAGAUUAGACACGCAUGAGGAAGGUCACAUUAAAAUUUGGCAUUUGGGCUUUCGUUCUUCAAAUUAUUUGCCAACUUACACAUUUCUUCAUGCUCAUCUACCACACAGUCCUUUUUGAGAAGUAAUUUCAGUGCCCCCCUGCCCUGGACAUCUGUUCAGUGAAAGAAAACAAGGAAGAAGAAAAUCAAGCUAUGUAUUAGCAUUACAUUUUAAGCUACUCCCAUAGUUUCAAACAUGAGAAUACAUAAAAAAAACCUGCUGCUGCUUCCUUCCGUACCUGACUGUCUAUUUCACAUUAUGGCAGGCCUGCCAUAGGUCAUGUACAGUAUAGGUCAUGUACAGCCCUGGGCAGCCAGUAAUGUGGCCCCACAAGAUCAUAAACCUUUAAUGUUGUUAUACGAUUUUUAACUGUGUGUUAAUCUUGCAUUCAGAUUUAAUAAAGGAAUUUGGGACAAAGUUUCAAGAUUUCAAAAAAAUCACCAAUUUUUUUGGUACAAUUGCAGCUUGAUUUUCAGUUGACAUAAGUACGUUUCCAGGCGACUUUCAAAUGGAAUUUUUGGAGUUACAACUGGAUAACGAAUUCAAAGAAAAAUGCGAUCAUGUCUCUCUACCAGACUUUCAUAAGAUGUCUCUUAUAAGAGAAAAAUAUCCCUCCCUUCCCAGUCACGCCUUAUUCAUGUCAUCACUUUUUGGCAGUACGUACAUUUGUAAAUAACUCUUCUCAUGGGUGAAGUACAGGAAGAGUAAAAUUUCCUGAAAAAUCUGAUGAACACCUGGAGGACUCACUAAGAAUUGCAGCCAAUUCCAUUGAACCAGACCAACGCAUUAGUUUCACAAAAACAAGCCCAGGACAAUUCCUCUUCACUCAAAGCAGCCCAGACAAGCCUAAGAGUUGGACACACGUGUUAUUGAAUUUCUGCUUGCUUCUAUUGCAACUGGCAAGCUCAGAAAGCCAACUGUAUCCUGAGUUGCAUCAAAAUAAGCUUGAUCAGCACGUCAAGGAAGGUGAUCCUGCUCCUCUGCUCUGCACUGGUGAGGCCUCACCUGGAGUAUUGCAUCUAGAUGUGGAGUCCUCUGUACAGAAGAGACAUGGACCGAUUGGGGAGCAUCCAGAGGAGGGCCACAAAAAUGAUCGAAGGGCUGGAACACCUCUCCCGUGAGGACAGACUGAGAGAGUUGGGGCUGUUCAGCCUAGAGAAGAAAAGGCUGCAAGAUGGUGCUUGGAGAAUUUUCUGCUACUGAAAACAGACUUCUCUUCCUCUUGGCUGCCGUACAUCCUUGCACCACACCUGGGAGUGACGUUGAUCACAUUCCCGUCUCCUGGCUGUGGAUCUGAAUGUUCCACCGUGUUAUCAUAAUGUGGACACUCAACUCAAGUCCCUGAGGUGAUAUUCUCCCCUUUCUCUUGGACAUAAGCAACAUGCCGUCAUUGAACUCUAGCAUCCUUUCUGUGUUUCACCCUUUCCCAAUCUGUCAAAAGUGGUCUCUGCGGUCUUAUGGAGAAAAGAGGAAGAAAAAAAUGGAAACUGCUCGGGAAAGUAGUGAGUAAUUUCCUGAUUUAAUAAAUAAAACUUGCGAAUCCUGCUGCUAUUUUGUGCUGCUAUGCUUUGUUACUAUUUGUGAGUAGAAAAACUACAGUAUUUUUAGAAAGAAAUGAGGAACAAGGAUCCAAAUUUAGUUUUGCUUCCAGCAUUUUGUCUGUUUGUCAGAUGGAUGAGAACCUCCAGGGAGCUCUAGCUGGGCUACAUCAAUACAAGAGCACAUUGUUUCUUAGAGCCAAGAAGGACCUUGUAGCCCUUCAGAUUCCCACACAUUUUACUAGCACAACAAAUGUGUACAAUUUACCAGAGGCAUGAAGCUACCUUUGAGUUAGGAUAGGAAACUAACUGGAAAGCGGCCCUCAGUUCUGCC